UUUUUUUUUUUUUUUUUUAGUGAAAAAGUAAAAAUAAGGCUAUAUAUACAUAUAUAUAUAUUUUUUUUUUAGUUCUACAUUUUUAAAACCAUUGCGAUUUAAAAAAAUAAAAAACAUAUCAGAUAGUUGCUAAGGGAUAGGUGACAAAUAUAUAUAUACAUUUUUUUUACGUGAAAACUUAGUGAACUAAAAAAAAAAAAAAAAAAAAAAAAAAAAAAAAAAAAAAAAAAAAAAAAUGGACAAUUCCUUUGUCGAGUUAAUAAAAAGCAUAAAACAAGAUGGUAGUAUGCGGAAUAUAGAAAGACAAUAUCAGUUUUGUAUAAACCAAUUAAAAGAGAUUGAAAAAAAUAAAAAUAAUACAAAAAUAAUAGUUUUAAAUAAUUCAUUGAUUAAAGAAAAAUCAAUUAUUGCAUUAAAAUUAUUAUAUUUACAAAUGUUUGGUAAAAAAAUUGAUAAAGAAAAUCACAUUUUAGUAUUUGAGUUAUUAACAAGUAAUAAAUAUAUAAUAAAAAAAAGAGGGUAUUUAUAUUUGAAUAAUAUAAAUAAUACAAGUGAUAAAGAUGAUAUUGUUUUAUUAUUAAUAAAUUAUUUUAAAAAAGAAUUAUACAAAGAAAGUAUAAGUAAUAAUGAUUCUUACAAUCGUUUUAAUAAUAAUAGUAAUAAUAAUAAUACAUCUAUUACUAGUGGAAUAAAUAAUAAUAUUGGUAUUGGUUCAAUUAAUAUUAUUAACAGUGUAAAUAAGACUACUACUGUAUUAAGUACAAUUACAAAUAUAGGUACAAAUAUUAUUAAAGAUAAUAUAACCGUAUUAGGAAAUAGUUUUAUUAACAAUAAUAAUGACACUAGUAAUAAUAACAACAGUGGUAUUAGUAGUAGUAGUAGUAAUAGUAGUAGGAGUAAUACGAAUGUAAGUGUACAAAAUGGUAAUAAUAUUAAUUUACAUUAUAACAAUAAUUCUACUAUUACUGCCGUUAACUGUAACAAUAAAAAAAAUAACAUUAACAACAAUAUAUAUGAAUCAAAUGAAGUUUUAACAAAUAGCUUUGGUAAAUGGAUACCCAACUAUAAUAAAAUUUUUAAUUCUGUGUUAGUACUUAACAGUAUAAGUAAUGUAUGUAAUAAUCUUAUGAGCACGAAUUUAUACAAUGAUAUAUUUUUAUUAAUGAACAGUUCAUAUAUAUAUGUUAGAAAAAAAGCAGUUUUAUGUUUUUAUAAAAUGCUUAUAACAGAUUUAGAACUAUUACCAACUUUUUAUAAAUUUAUAAAAAAACAAUUUAUUUUACUAUAUAAUAAUGAAAAUAGUUCCUAUGAAAAAAUGCAAAAUGAUGAUGCUGACUAUGUAUUUAAAAAUAAUACUUCUCUUUGUUGUUUGAUUAUUAAUGUAUUAGUAGAAAUAUUUUAUUUUUUGGAAAAAAAAGUAACUUUACCUUAUUCAGACAGUAUGUAUAAUAGGUCAAGUAAAACUUUACCAACAAACACAAAUACAAACACAAAUAUAGGCACAAAUAUAGGCACAAAUAUAGGCACAAACACUGAUGAUCAAAAAACAACAAAUUAUACCGACAAUAUAAUAAAAACAUAUUUAAAAAAAUUUUUACUUUUUAUUCCAUUUAUUUAUAAUAUAUUAAAAGAAAGAUUAAGUUUAAUUGAUAAUUGGAAAUUAAUAAAAAUUAUAAAAUUUUUAAUUAUAUUAGCAAAAUAUGAAAAUAGAAUUUAUAAAAAAUUUUUAUCAAUUAUAUUACAUAUACUUGAAACGAAUCAGGCAAAAAGUGUUAUGUUUGAAUGUUUUUCUUUUGUAAUUAUUUGUUAUAAUAAGGGGUAUAAUAAUAGUAUGGCUAAUAAUUUGACUGUUAAUACUAGUAAUACGGACAUUUAUCACACUGGUGAUCCUAACUCCUAUCUUGAUAAAAAACAAACAAACAAAGAUGAACCUAAUUUGUUAGUGAAUAUUAGCCUUGAAAAAAAUGAAGCUAAUCUUGAAAAAAAUGAAGGUAACCAAAAACAACCUGAACAGUGUAUCUAUAACAAUCAUUUAAAUGAAAUGAUUAAACACAACGAUAUAAUUUCCCACUGUCUACAAAAAUUGAUUAAUUAUUUGUUUAGUGAAGAUAAAAAUGUAAUUUAUGUUACUAUACAAUUAUGUAAACACAUUUUUGAAAAUACUGAUUUUUAUAAUUUUGUUUUUAUUAAAUAUGAUUUCUUAGAUAAUUUUUCUACUACUAUAUUUCAAAAUUUUAAUCAAAGUGAUUUAAUAAUAAGAAAAAAGUUUUUAACAGUAUUAAAUUAUUUAAUUAAUAAAAAAAAUUUUCAAACUAUUAUACAUAAUAUAGCAAUAUAUUUAUACAAUAAUAAAGAACGUGAAUUUUGUGACGACUAUAUUAAUGUAAUACUAAAUUAUGGAACUAAUAAUAUAUGUACAUUAAAUAAUGUUAUAAAUUUUUAUAUUUUUAUUUUAUUUUUUAUUUUAUGUUCUUUAAAAAAUAAUAAUCAUGAAUUAAUUAUAUUAAAUAAAAUUAUGGAAAUAAGUAAAGAAGCUAAAAAAACACAUAUAACCAUCAAUUUUUUAAGCUCCAUUUUUAUAAUUACUUAUGGCAUAGAUUUGAUUAAAACAGGAACUUUAGAAAAACAGCAAUUAGGUUUGAUCACAUCUGAUAGUAUGUUACCAGAUCAAAAUAUUCUUACCUCUGUACCUUUGUAUGGUGGUACAAGUUACAAAAACGGUACAAAUGGCAACUACAAAAUUGGUACAAAUGGCAACUACAAAACUGGUACAAAUGGCAACUACAAUACCAGUUACAAUGACAAUUACAAAACAAGUUACAAUGACAAUUACAAAACCAGUUACAAUGACAAUUACAAAACUGGUACAAAUGGCAACUACAAUACCAGUUACAAUGACAAUUACAAAACCAGUUACAAUGGCAACUACAAUACCAGUUACAAUGACAAUUACAAAACCAGUUACAAUGACAAUUACAAAACCAGUUACAAUGACAAUUACAAUGCCGAUUAUGCCACGUUUUAUGGAGAUAACUAUCAAUAUAUGAUAGAAACUGAAAUUAUGAAUUUAAAAAAAAAAUUAAAAAGAAAUAAUAAAAUAAUAAAAUAUAAUAUAUUUUUCUACAUUGUUGAUAUAUUGAAUUUGUACGACUUAAUUAAUUAUAAAAGAACAGGUUCAUCAUCACUACCCCCUAAAAAUGCAUAUAAAAAUAUACAUAAAUUCAAAUUAGUUACAUUCGAAUAUAUUAUUUAUUUUAUCAGUAUUUAUAUUGAAG
rnacentral:lncRNA from 1 species